UGUAGGGUCAAGUACUUCUGUUUUCAGGUAUUGAGACUCUGGAGCAACGCUGACGUAGUUCACAGCUGUGUGUGUGGCGGACCCGUGAGCUAAACCUUGUCCCAGUGUCUUCUAGGUCAGGCCCACCAUGCGGGAAGGCACGGGUCUGAACUCCUCUUCAUGCGGCUCUGCUGGUGGAGCUGGAGACGGACUCGCUGCAGCUACGUGGCCGGGUAUUUUUUUAAAGGUAGUAUCGGUCACAACUGGUAUGCGUCAUCCUAUUUUAUUUUCAUUUCUGGGUGCAGCUGUUGCUCAUCAUGUGAUCAGAGAUCAUCUGUCCUGUAAAUAUUGACUUACUGUAUUCAGUAAAUCCAAGACUUUCUGAUUUAAUGCCAGCUUUUAUGUAACUCCGUGUAGAUGUGUAUAUAAUAUGAAGACCUCUUGUUUGAGGCAAAUGAAUAAAUCAACUUGAUGUUUGAGUUACUCUGA